rnacentral:lncRNA from 1 species
GUGCGGAAGAUUUAUAACUUAAUUUACAACAUAUGAUGAAAUACAAACUUAACUAAAUUUUUAAAAGGUGUAUAGAGUAGCGGAAGCAUCUUAGGUGAAGCUUCUAAGGUAGAAGAGGUGGAUAAAUCAUGUCGCGCCCACCGACAUGACCUCCAUUAGCAGACUAAGUCAGCACCUGCAACAGGGGUUAUAAAACCCUGAGUACAAAAGUACUCAACAAGACUUAACCGACUAGAAAAGAGAUGAAGACUCAGGUAUGCAGGCUAUAGGGAUUCAAGGUAAAGCUUUAUCAAGAUAAAGCAUUUCUUUUGCAUAAAAGCUUACUAAGAUUAAACCUACUUUCAAGUUUUAACUCAAGGUUAUCAUUUAUGACUAACCAAAACUAUUAUCAAACUUGCAUAAGCAUACCACAUCUUUCUUAUACCAAAGAUUCACUUGUUACUACGAUGAUGGUGUGAGGAUUGAGGCUCCAUAUCCGAGGAAACACGGCGAUUCGAAUCGAUUAAACCCAGCUGGGGAUUCAGUACCACACGACAUAUGUAGAACUUAAUCUUGCAUAUGUCAACCUUUUCUAUAGAUCCUCCCAUACAAGAACGGGUCCAGCGUCACCCGAGAGUACAGUACACCACCAUCCUACAGCCAAUCUAGAUGUUUCCCGGUCAUCUCAGAUCCGUAAGGUGGGUACACGCUACUCUCGCCAUCUUUCCACUCCCAGUACGCGGUUAGCCGUUCUCAAGUAUCGGAAUAGCUAUAGGUAAGGCUUACCGCCGCAUGUGGGCUGUACUCAAAGGUCUCAAUCACAACAGGCCAAUCAACGGUACGGUCCUUAAUCGACACAGUUGGAGACACUACUUUAAGACUCCAUUCUUAAAGCAAGUCCACCGACCGGUCUCAAAUUGAACAUCAUUAACUAUAAGAGUAUUCCACAACGACCCUUCAAACGUUCUCAUUUGAAAACUUAUCUAAUAAGCAGGGCUAAGCAUACUAAGCAUUUUCAUAAAGCAGGUAUCAAGGUUAAUAUGGAAAUCAUCAAGGUAGAUAAUGCAGCAAAUAGGAUUCACUCAACUCCUAUUCACCUAAUGCAUCAUAUUAACUCAAGUGAUAUAAAUAACUUUAUGAAAAUACAAGGAUAGGGUUUAAUGUCCGGGGCUUGCCUUGACCGGAAGGGAAGUCCGACAACUCAGCAAAACCAGAUGGAUCCACAAACUCGGAAGCAACCCACUGAGGAUCAGAUUCCUCCGGAGCGUAGUCU